GCAGCCGGGACAUGUUGGUCGGAGUGGGCAGGUUGGGCCGAAGGUCCUGUUUCCACACUGUAUCACUCUAUGUUUAUAACACAAAGUGCUGGAGUAACUCAGCGGGUCAGGCAGCAUCCGUGGAGAACAUGGAUAGGUGACAUUUCGGGUCGGGACCCUUCUUCAGACUGACACUAUGUUAACAGAUGAGGGGGUGAUCGGUAGAUGAGUGAAGUAAGUGACAGAGGCGAGGGAAAAUAAUGAGAUAAAAGGAUGUGAGAUAA